rnacentral:lncRNA from 1 species
UAGGACUCUAUCCCUUGCACCACCUCAAUUGUCUCACACCAUUUCUUACCGUGCAAAAUCAGUUUAUGUAUGAGAAAACUAGAAAAUAAUCUUUCUUUUUUCACUCAUUAAGGAUAGGAAUUGGUUGGUUUUGAUUUGAAUUCAAAUUAGUUUGAAUUUCAACUUAAAACCUUAUCCAUAUCCUUCUACACAUUGGCUACUUUUGAAG